CGCUGGCGGCAGGCCUAACACAUGCAAGUCGAACGGUAGCACAGAGAGCUUGCUCUCGGGUGACGAGUGGCGGACGGGUGAGUAAUGUCUGGGAAACUGCCUGAUGGAGGGGGAUAACUACUGGAAGCGGUAGCUAAUACCGCAUAACGUCGCAAGACCAAAGAGGGGGACCUUCGGGCCUCUUGCCAUCAGAUGUGCCCAGAUGGGAUUAGCUAGUAGGUGGGGUAACGGCUCACCUAGGCGACGAUCCCUAGCUGGUCUGAGAGGAUGACCAGCCACACUGGAACUGAGACACGGUCCAGACUCCUACGGGAGGCAGCAGUGGGGAAUAUUGCACAAUGGGCGCAAGCCUGAUGCAGCCAUGCCGCGUGUAUGAAGAAGGCCUUCGGGUUGUAAAGCACUUUCAGCGGGGAGGAAGGUGUUGUGGUUAAUAACCACAGCAAUUGACGUUACCCGCAGAAGAAGCACCGGCU
rnacentral:rRNA from 1 species